CGGGCUUAACACAUGCAAGUCGAACGAGAAGCUCCGGGCUUGCCCGGGGUGGAAAGUGGCGCACGGGUGAGUAACGCGUAGGCAAUCUACCCUCAGCAGGGGAACAACCCCGCGAAAGCGGAGCUAAUACCCCAUAAUGUCCCUUGGUCGCAUGACCUCGGGAUCAAAGUUCAGGCGGCUGAGGAUGAGCCUGCGUUAGAUUAGCUAGUUGGUGGGGUAACGGCCCACAAAGGCAACGAUCUAUAGCGGGUCUGAGAGGAUGAUCCGCCACACUGGCACUGAGACACGGGCCAGACUCCUACGGGAGGCAGCAGUGAGGAAUAUUGCGCAAUGGACGAAAGUCUGACGCAGCCACGCCGCGUGCAGGAAGACACCCCUUCGGGGCGUAAACUGCUUUUAUAUGGGAAGAACACCCCGCACCGUUGCGGGGUCUGACGGUACCAUACGAAUAAGGACCGGCUAACUCCGUGCCAGACAG
rnacentral:rRNA from 2 species